AUUAAAGAUUGGGCAACAUGCAACAUACCAUCUUGGUUCUGGACAAAGAAGGAAUCUGAACUUUUGGAACAAGAUGCAGUGUGAUGGAAGAAAAGGUUUCCCACAGCUUGUUACACUGAAGGCCUGGGCAGUGGGCACACGUGGAGUGGAUGCAAGUGAACAGAGUUUGGCAGCAUAUCCAGGCUCAUUUAGAGGAAAAGAAGAACUGUGUGUUACAUAUACGUGUCCUCCUGCAUAGUGUACAUUCUGAUACAGUAAAUUCAGCCAAUUUUCUGGUAUUAUUCUCAAGGUCUGUGCCAUGGAUAUUAGAGACUUCCAUAUGGAGUUUUUAG
rnacentral:lncRNA from 1 species